UACGUAGGUGGCGAGCGUUGUCCGGAUUUACUGGGCGUAAAGAGCGCGCAGGCGGUCGUUCAAGUCGCGUGUGAAAGCCCCCGGCUCAACUGGGGAGGGUCACGCGAUACUGAUCGACUCGAAGGCAGGAGAGGGAAGUGGAAUUCCCCGGUGUAGUGGUGAAAUGCGUAGAUAUCGGGAGGAACACCAGUGGCGAAGGCGACUUCCUGGCCUGUUCUUGACGCUGAGGCGCGAAAGCUAGGGGAGCAAACGGG
rnacentral:rRNA from 1 species